AACGAACGCUGGCGGCAUGCCUAACACAUGCAAGUCGAACGAAACCAUCGGGUCUAGUGGCGCAUGGGUGCGUAACCCGUGGGAACCUGCCCUUGGGUUUGGCAUAACUCCCCGAAUGGGGUGCUAAUACCGGCUCAUAUCUUCGGACCGAACAUUUAUCGCAUUUGGAUGGGCCCAGGUUGGAUCAGAUAGUUGGUAGGGUAAAAGCCUACCAAGGCGACGAUCCGUAACUGAUUUGAGAGGCUGAUCAGCCACACUGGGACUGAGACACGGUCCAGACUCCUACGGGAGGCAGCAGUGGGGAAUAUUGCACAAUGGGCGAAAGCCUGAUCGAGCAAUGCCGCGUGUGUGAUGAAGGUCUUCGGAUUGUAAAGCACUGUAAGUUGGGAGGAAGGAAAGUAAGGUUAUACCUGCAUGUCUUGACGUUACCAAAAGAAUAAGCCCCGGCUAACUUCGUG
rnacentral:rRNA from 1 species